UGGGGAAUUUUGGACGAAUUGGGCGAAAGCCUGAUCCAGCAAUGCCGCGUGUGUGAAGAAGGCCUUCGGGUUGUAAAGCACUUUUGUCCGGAAAGAAAUCCUUGGCUCUAAUACAGUCGGGGGAUGACGGUACCGGAAGAAUAAGCACCGGCUAACUACGUGCCAGCAGCCGCGGUAAUACGUAGGGUGCAAGCGUUAAUCGGAAUUACUGGGCGUAAAGCGUGCGCAGGCGGUUUUGCUAAGACCGAUGUGAAAUCCCCGGGCUCAACCUGGGAACUGCAUUGGUGACUGGCAGGCUAGAGUAUGGCAGAGGGGGGUUAGAAUUCCACGUGUAGCAGUGAAAUGCGUAGAGAUGUGGAGGAAUACCGAUGGCGAAGGCAGCCCCCUGGGCCAAUACUGACGCUCAUGCACGAAAAGGCGUGGGGGAGCAAAAGCAGGAUUUAGAUA
rnacentral:rRNA from 1 species